UUGAGUGGCGGACGGGUGAGUAACGCGUGGGUAACCUGCCUCAUACAGGGGGAUAACAGUUGGAAACGGCUGCUAAUACCGCAUAAGCGCACAGUACCGCAUGGUACGGUGUGAAAAACUCCGGUGGUAUGAGAUGGACCCGCGUCUGAUUAGGUAGUUGGUGGGGUAACGGCCUACCAAGCCGACGAUCAGUAGCCGACCUGAGAGGGUGACCGGCCACAUUGGGACUGAGACACGGCCCAA
rnacentral:rRNA from 1 species